rnacentral:rRNA from 1 species
GGCGGACGGGUGAGUAAUGCCUAGGAAUCUGCCUGGUAGUGGGGGACAACGUUUCGAAAGGAACGCUAAUACCGCAUACGUCCUACGGGAGAAAGUGGGGGAUCUUCGGACCUCACGCUAUCAGAUGAGCCUAGGUACGAUUAGCUAGUUGGUGAGGUAAAGGCUCACCAAGGCGACGAUCGUUAACUGGUCUGAGAGGAUGAUCAGUCACACUGGAACUGAGACACGGUCCAGACUCCUACGGGAGGCAGCAGUGGGGAAUAUUGGGCAACGGGCGCAAGCCUGACCCAGCAACGCCGCGUGAGGGAAGAAGGCUUUCGGGUUGUAAACCUCUGUCCUUGGUGACGAAACAAAUGACGGUAGCC